rnacentral:rRNA from 1 species
UGCCUACGGGGCGCAGCAGUGGGGAAUAUUGCACAAUGGGGGAAACCCUGAUGCAGCGACGCCGCGUGAGUGAAGAAGUAUUUCGGUAUGUAAAGCUCUAUCAGCAGGGAAGAAAAUGACGGUACCUGACUAAGAAGCCCCGGCUAACUACGUGCCAGCAGCCGCGGUAAUACGUAGGGUGCAAGCGUUAUCCGGGAUUACUGGGUGUCAAGGGAGCGUAGACGGCAUGGCAAGUCAGAUGUGAGCGCCCGG